GACGAACGCUGGCGGCGCGCCUAACACAUGCAAGUCGAACGAGCGAGAGAGAGCUUGCUUUCUUGAGCGAGUGGCGAACGGGUGAGUAACGCGUGAGGAACCUGCCUCAAAGAGGGGGACAACAGUUGGAAACGACUGCUAAUACCGCAUAAGCCCACGGCUCGGCAUCGAGCAGAGGGAAAAGGAGCAAUCCGCUUUGAGAUGGCCUCGCGUCCGAUUAGCUAGUUGGUGAGGUAACGGCCCACCAAGGCGACGAUCGGUAGCCGGACUGAGAGGUUGAACGGCCACAUUGGGACUGAGACACGGCCCAGACUCCUACGGGAGGCAGCAGUGGGGAAUAUUGCACAAUGGGGGAAACCCUGAUGCAGCGACGCCGCGUGGAGGAAGAAGGUCUUCGGAUUGUAAACUCCUGU
rnacentral:rRNA from 1 species